CUACGGGUGGCUCCAGUGAGGAAUAUUGCGCAAUGGAGGCAACUCUGACGCAGCAACGCCGCGUGAGUGAAGACGGCCCGAUGGGUUGUAAAGCUCUGUAAGUGGGGAAGAGAAGGUUGCUAUAUGCAACUUGGACGGUACCCGCAAAGUAAGCUCCGGCUAACUCCGUGCCAGCAGCCGCGGUAAUACGGGGGGAGCGAGCGUUGUCCGGAUUUAUUGGGCGUAAAGGGCAUGUAGGCGGGACAGUAAGUCAGUGGUGAAAUGUAACGGCUCAACCGUUAACCUGCCAUUGAAACUACUGUUCUUGAGUUCAGGAGAGGGAAACGGAAUUCCAGGUGUAGCGGUGGAAUGCAUAGAUAUCUGGAAGAACACCGAAUGCGAAGGCAGUUUCCUGGCCAUGGACUGACGCUGAUGUGCGAAAGCGUGGGUAGCAAACAGGAUUAGAUACCCCAGUAGUC
rnacentral:rRNA from 1 species